AUUUGAAUGCUCAAGAAAUGUUACCCCUGAUUUAAUUUCAUUUUUAACUAAAAUAGAUAACCCUCCUGAUCUUUUGUUUGUGCGUUUUGAUUUCGGUCGUAUCAAAUUAACAGAUUUAAAUCCUGGUAAAGUUAUCAAAGUACAGAUUAUAAUUAUAGUACCCAGACGCGGUUCGUCUACAUAAAGAUCAUCAGUGACGCUCAUAUCAAAAUAUUUAUAUAGCCAAACAAGUAGAAAGUUGAAGAGCAUUGAGGAUCCAAAAUUCCAAAAAGUUGUGCCAAAUACAUCUAAGGUAAUCUAUGCUGGAUAAGAAAAUCCUUAGUUUUUUCGAAAAAUUCAAAGUUUUGUAAAACAGGAAAUUUAUAAAAAUACCACAUUAUUGAUAUUCAUUCAACACCGAAUGACUACUGGGCUGGUGAUACCCUCGGGACGAAACGUCCACCAGCAGUGGCAUCGACCCAGUGGUGUAAAUAGUUAUCAAAAGGUACCAGGAUUAUAAUUUAUAGUACGCCAGACGCGCGUUUCGUCUACAUAAGACUCAUCAGUGACGCUCAUAUCAAAAAUAUAAGCCAACAAAAGAAAGUUGAAGAGCAUUGAGGAUCCAAAAUUCCAAAAAGUUGUGCCAAUACAUCUAAGGUAAUCUAUGCCUGGAUCAGAAAAUCCUAGUUUUCGAAAAUUCAAAUUUGUAAAAGGAAAUUUAUAAAAAUGACCACAUUAUUGAAUUCAUGUCAACACCGAAGUUGACUACUGGGCUGGUGAACCCUCGGGGACGAAACGUCCACCAGCGUGCAUCGACCCCAGUGGUUAAAUAGUUAUCAAAGUCCAGGAUUAUAAUUUAUAGUACGCCAGACGCGCGUUUCGUCUACAUAAGACUCAUCAGUGACGCUCAUAUCAAAAUAUUUAUAUAGCCAAACAAGUAGAAAGUUGAAGAGCAUUGAGGAUCCAAAAUCCCAAAAAGUUGUGCCAAAUACAUCUAAGGUAAUCUAUCCUGGGAUAAGAAAAUCCUUAGUUUUUCGAAAAUUCAAAGUUUUAAACAGAAAAUUUAUAAAAAAUGACCACAUUAUUGAUAUUCAUGUCAACACCGAAGUGUUGACUACUGGGCUGGUGAUACCCUCGGACGAAACGUCCACCAGUGGCAUCGCCCAUGUGUAAAUAGUUAUCAAAGGUACCAGGAUUAUAAUUUAUAGUACGCCAGACGCGCGUUUCGUCUACAUAAACUCAUCAUGACGCUUCAUAUCAAUAUUUAUAUAGCCAAACAAGUAGAAAGUUGAGAGCAUUGAGGAUCCAAAAUCCAAAAAUUGUGCCAAAUACAUCUAAGGUAAUCUAGCCUGGGAUAAGAAAUCCUUAGUUUUUCGAAAAUUCAAAAGUUUUGUAAACAGAAAUUUAUAAAAAUGACCACAUUAUUAUAUUCAUGUCAACACCGAAGUGUUGACUAGGGCUGGUAUACCCUCGGGGACAACGUCACAGCAGGCAUCGACCCAGUGGUGUAAAUAUUAUCAAAGUACCAGAUUAUAAUUAUAGUACGCCAACGCGUUUCGGUCUACAUAAGACUCAUCAGUGACGCUCAUAUAAAAUAUUAUAUAGCCAAACAAUAGAAAGUUGAAGAGCAUUGAGAUCCAAAAUUCCAAAAGUGUGCCAAAUAAUCUAAGGAAUCUAUGCCUGGGAUAAGAAAAUCCUUAGUUUUUCGAAAAAUUCAAAGUUUUGUAAACAAAGACCGUGAAUCCUCAAAGGAGCAGUGUGUUUCUUGUAAACAAAUUAUGUCUUUAUUGCUCAAUUCUUUGAUGAACCUAGGAUCACUGUAUUUGUUGUAUCCCUUGUGUUUAAAACCGUUGAUAUUCCAACAAGCUAAGUGUAAAC
rnacentral:lncRNA from 1 species